UCCCUGAUAGCUCAGUUGGUAAAGAAUCUGCCUGCAAUGCAGGAGACCCUGGUUCAAUUCCUGGCUCAGGAA
rnacentral:tRNA from 1 species